UUUCAACAACGGAUCUCUUGGUUCCAGCAUCKAUGAAGAACGCAKCGAAAUGCGAUAAGUAAUGUGAAUUGCAGAAUUCAGUGAAUCAUCGAAUCUUUGAACGCACAUUGCGCCCCUCGGUAUUCCGGGGGGCAUGCCUGUUCGAGCGUCAUUAC
rnacentral:rRNA from 1 species